rnacentral:misc_RNA from 1 species
GCCUGAUAAACAAUUUUACACAAUCCCAUUUAUGAGGGAACUAAGAGCUUAUAAACAAACUAGAACAAACCAUCCAAGAAUCAUGGAGGCUAUGGAACCAAAAUUUCCAUUAACAAUGCCCAAAUCUCGAGCACAUUACACGAUUUUAGCUGAAAACUUGCAAUGGCUAGUGUGCUGGUAAACAAGGCCUAACAAAUGUUUGAUCGUUUGUGAAUGAACGCGUCCAACAUCAAGCCAGUCGAUGCAAAUGACACCUCUAUCUAGCAUUUUAGCGAGACUUUCAUCAUGCUGAAUUCUCGUGAAGCAGUACAUACUCUCGGCUACUAUUACCAAACUUAAGGGUAUCCUUUUCAAAUAGUUCAUAGUAUCUCUCAGGCUCAAUCCGGUUUUCAUUAAUGAAAGUACCAUUAGUGCUUCCAAGAUCCAUUACGUAUGGCCUUACUUGCUUUGAUGAAGUACCGUCGGGUUUGUCCUUCUCAACUUGCCGGUACUGGAGGACAGCAUGUUGCUUGCUGCAAGAUGGGUGAUCUGUGGGAACGUCUGCAACCCUCCUUUCUCUCCCAAAAAGAUAACAGCUUUGGCGAUGAACAUAUAGAGGAUCAUUAAGGACUUCACCGCCCUUAAAAACAUACAAGCGCCAUCUUAUGUCGGGUUUUCUAGCAUCUGGUGGCUCAUUGAAGAGAAGUGUUAUGCCUCUUACUCGAUUAGUUUCUGCUGCAAGCUUUCCAGAGAGCUCAAACGAAGGCUUAUCUUUAUUUUUAGCUUCCAAGGCCUCCUCAGCUUCCAUCAUUUUAGAUAAGGAGUCAUCUUCACCAUUCCUGAGUUCAUCUCUCGUUAAGUUUGUUACCUCAGAAUGUGCUCUACUAUCAGCUGCUACAGGUGAUCUUGAUCUGUGCCGACUUCUAUGCUGACGUUCUGAAAGUGAAGCUGAUAGACCAUUUCUCGACUUAUACGAUCCAUUAUCCUUUGAGUCCUUUCCUGAUUUUGUCUCUCUCUUUUCGAUUUGCAUCACUCUAUCAGAAUCCUUAUGUGCCGCCCUAUCACUAGCUCUCCCAUGGUUUUUUUCAGGCUCCCGCUCCCUCGACUUCUCUACAGCUUCUCGAUCUGCUCUCCUUAGUCUCUUUGUUCGUGGUGAGGGUGAACGAGAUUCAGGUAACAUUCUGUCAGAAUCUUUUUCUCUAUGUGUAGCCCUAUCACUAGCUCUCCCAUGAUUUUUUUCAGGCUCCCGUUCCCUUGGCUUUUCUUCAGCUUCUCGUUCUGCUCUUCUUAGUCUCUUUGUUCGUGGUGAGGGUGAACGAGAUUCAGGUAACAUUCUGUCAGAAUCUUUUUCUCUAUGUGUAGCCCUAUCACUAGCUCUCCCAUGAUUUUUUUCAGGCUCCCGUUCCCUUGGCUUUUCUUCAGCUUCUCGUUCUGCUCUU